AUUGAACGCUGGCGGCAGGCCUAACACAUGCAAGUCGAACGAGUGGCGGACGGGUGAGUAAUGUCUGGGAAACUGCCUGAUGGAAGGGGAUAACUACUGGAAACGGUAGCUAAUACCGCAUACCAUCAGAUGUGCCCAGAUGGGAUUAGCUUGUUGGUGGGGUAACGGCUCACCAGGGGGACCAUCCCUAGCUGGUCUUCGAGGAUGACCAGCAAACCGGGAACUGAGACACGGUCCAGACUCCUACGGGAGGCAGCAGUGGGGAAUAUUGCACAAUGGGCGCAAGCCUGCUGCAGCCAGGCCGCGGGUAUGAAGAAGGCCUUCGGGUUGUAAAGUACUUUCAGCGGGGAGGCGUUACCCGCAGAAGAAGCACCGGCUAACUCCGUGCCAGCAGCCGCGGUAAUUC
rnacentral:rRNA from 1 species